ACCACCCUUGUAGGUAACAUAUGGAUUUAAAUCAUGUAUUAUUGGAAAACCAGCAUAUGUUAUUGCUCGUCUGGUGAUAAGUGUCAUCAGCCAACUCCUAUGUGGAUACAACACCCUCCCUCUAUAUGCUCUCAUAUCUCAAAUGGGAGGUUCGUUUAAGAAAGCCAUGUUCGAUGAAAGUAUAUCUGAAGGCCUCACCAAUUGGGCUCAAAAGGCUAGGAAGCGUAAUAGAAUGACAACACCAAGUGUUGGUGACAAUUCACCCGUUGGUGAGGGAAUUCAAAUGACAAAUGACUGCUAGGUUCAUCUAAGUGAAUACAUAUCAAUG